rnacentral:rRNA from 1 species
GACGAACGCUGGCGGCGUGCUUAACACAUGCAAGUCGAGCGAGAAAAAGUCUUCGGACUUUUUCUAGCGGCGAACGGGUGAGUAACACGUGGGUAACCUGCCCAUAAGAGGGGAUAACAUCCGGAAACGGGUGCUAAUACCGCAUAGGUUUCUUGGUCGCAUGAUUGAGAAAGGAAAGACGGCCUUUGUGCUGUCGCUUAUGGAUGGACCCGGGCGUAUUAGUUAGUUGGUGAGGUAACGGCUCACCAAGACGAUGAUACGUAGCCGACCUGAGAGGGUGAUCGGCCACAUUGGGACUGAGACACGGCCCAAACUCCUACGGGAGCAGCAGUAGGGAAUCUUGCACAAUGGG